rnacentral:rRNA from 1 species
CCUACGGGCGGCUGCAGUGGGGAAUAUUGGACAAUGGGGGGAACCCUGAUCCAGCCAUGCCGCGUGUGUGAAGAAGGCCCUCGGGUUGUAAAGCACUUUCAGUGAGGAAGAACGCCUGGUGGUUAAUACCCAUCAGGAAAGACAUCACUCACAGAAGAAGCACCGGCUAACUCCGUGCCAGCAGCCGCGGUAAUACGGAGGGUGCGAGCGUUAAUCGGAAUUACUGGGCGUAAAGCGCGCGUAGGUGGCUUGAUAAGCCGGUUGUGAAAGCCCCGGGCUCAACCUGGGAACGGCAUCCGGACCUGUCAAGCUAGAGUGCAGGAGAGGAAGGUAGAAUUCCCGGUGUAGCGGUGAAAUGCGUAGAGAUCGGGAGGAAUACCAGUGGCGAAGGCGGCCUUCUGGACUGACACUGACACUGAGGUGCGAAAGCGUGGGUAGCAAACAGGAUUAGAUACCCGAGUAGUC